UGGGGAAUAUUGGGCAAUGGAGGCAACUCUGACCCAGCAACGCCGCGUGAGGGAAGAAGGUUUUCGGAUUGUAAACCUCUGUCCUAGGGGACGAAGAAAGUGACGGUACCCUAGGAGGAAGCCCCGGCUAACUACGUGCCAGCAGCCGCGGUAAUACGUAGGGGGCAAGCGUUGUCCGGAAUUACUGGGCGUAAAGGGUGCGUAGGCGGUAUGGUAAGUUAGAUGUGAAAUCCCCGGGCUUAACUCGGGAGUUGCAUUUAAAACUGUCAGACUAGAGUGCAGGAGAGGAAAGCGGAAUUCCUAGUGUAGCGGUGAAAUGCGUAGAUAUUAGGAGGAACACCAGUGGCGAAGGCGGCUUUCUGGACUGUAACUGACGCUGAGGCACGAAAGCGUGGGGAGCGAACA
rnacentral:rRNA from 1 species